rnacentral:rRNA from 1 species
AUGGUCCGCACGAUGACCGAAGGCAUCGUGAAUAGGUUUUUGAGCUCCGCGAAGGCCGAGAUGCUUGAAAAGAACGAGACGGAGAUAAGAUGUCCGUGUCGAAGAUGCAAGCUGAAGAGCCUUAUUGCGGACCCGGAUUCCGGGCAGGUGCGGGACCACCUACUCUUGCGUGGUUUCAUGGAUGGCUAUCGGUGGCAAGGUGAUGAAGAUGACUAUGAAGUCGUCCAUGGGGGUCGGGCAAGAAAUGAGGAUGGGCAGCAAGACAACCACCGCGGCUCGGGCGGGCGAGAAGACGAAGAAUCUCCAGGACAUGAUCACGACGGUGAUGCUGUACACAGUCAUCAUGUAGAAGAUGCCGGACAUGAUGAUGAGGAAGAUGCGGGAGCAGACGAAGGGCAUGAUCAUGAAGAUGAAGAUGCCGGCGGAGCAGACGACGAUGUACCAUCGAUGGGCUGGGUGCAGGACCCUCAUAUUCAAGAGCUGCUUCUCAAGCAGACGGAUAACGCAAGAGCUGCCGCCCGAGAGAAAGCCAAGCUGGAUCAACUGGAGAUAGACGCGGUUACUCCAUUGUAUGAAGCAUGCAGGCCCGAGGAUACCCGCCUGAAAGUAACGCUCAUGGCUCUGGAGAUGAAGGUAAAGCACAAAAUGACCGACGCAUGCUUCGACGAGAACAUGUCAUUCUGGCACGAACGUCUUCCCAAGGGGAACAAGUGCCCGACCAGUUUCGAGGAGGCGAAGAAAAUCGUGUGUCCUCUGGAUUUACCGCACGUGAAAUACCAUGUGUGCAUGAACAAUUGCAUCAUUUAUCGGGACGAGCACACGGAGUCUACCAUAUGUCUGGUGUGCGGCGUCACUCGAUACAAGAAGAGGAAGAAAGCUCCUCGAAAAGUGGUGUGGUACUCUCCGAUCACUCCUCGUCUGCAGCGGUAUUUUGCGGACCCUAAGGUAGCAAAGCUCCUGCGUUGGCACGCGGAUAGGGAGGAGAAGAAGCGAGAAGAUGACGCAAAUGAUCCGGAGAUAAAUAAAAAAGAAAAGAUGCUGAGUCACCCUAAGGAUGGGAGCCAGUGGCAAGCGUUGAACUUCGAACACCCAGAAUUUGGGAACGAUCCAAGGAACAUCGUGCUGGGCGCGAGCGCCGAUGGAGUCAAUCCGUUUGGCAGCCAGAGAAGCACACAUAGCACCUGGCCUGUGUUUGUGUGGAUGUACAACCUUCUCCCCUGGUUGUGCAUGAAGAGGAAGUACAUUCACAUGAGUAUGCUAAUUGAAGGGCCGAAACAA